rnacentral:pre_miRNA from 1 species
UAAAUACUCCCUCUGUCCGGAAAUACUCGUCGGAGGAAUGGAUGUAUCUAGAUGUAUUUAGUUCUAGAUACAUUCAUUUUUAUGCAUUUCUUCGACAAGUAUUUCUGGACGGAGGGAGUAUUUG